rnacentral:lncRNA from 1 species
GUUUGCCCCUCAGUGGGAAGAAAGCUUCCAACUCCCAGCGGUUCCAGCAGAAGUCCUGGGGCUGGAGAGCUGUUCCUGAGUUGCCUGUGAUCACAUACCACACCUGAUGGCAUCACUGUAUCCAGGCUCCAGGUGCAUAGAAUGUUGUGAGGUCAUGACUGCCAGCAUUAUGACCAGUCUUGGAACUAGGAUUGGGGUGGGGUUCAUCCCACCCAGACCACAGAGACUGAAAAUAAGAAAGGGGUGAGGCCUAAGGGACAAUCAGGAUGUUUUUCAGAGAGAAGUGUGGAUGCUGGACAGGAAGAACCACAGAUACCAGAUACGGAGAGUCAAGGGAUUGGAUUGUGGAUUGCAUUGGUGGUUUUCCUCAGUUUCCUCAUCUUCUCCACAAGUUUCUACAUAUCGAAUGCAGAGCAGCCCUUCUUCAAAGGACCUCCUACGGAAGCUGCUAAGGAACUCAGUCUGUAGCUCUGCGUGGAGCCAUGUGUAAACACUGAACUGAGACCUGCCACCUCCUACUACCUAAGGGCCCAUUUUCAUCUGAUAUCAUCCCCCAGAAACAAACUCAUGAUGACUUCCAUGUUUUUUUUAGAUUAGAUACAUGGAGAAUUUUCCUUUCCCUUAGAAUUAAAAUCCUGCAUUCUAAUUUUCAGUAA